rnacentral:rRNA from 1 species
GAGUUUGAUCCUGGCUCAGGACGAACGCUGGCGGCGUGCCUAAUACAUGCAAGUCGAACGCAAUCUUUGAACAAUGAGUGCUUGCACUCAGCGUUUAAAGUGCGAGUGGCGAACGGGUGAGUAACACGUGGGCAAUCUGCCCAAAAGUGGGGGAUAACACUUGGAAACAGGUGCUAAUACCGCAUCAACCGGCUGACCGCAUGGUCGGCCGGGCAAAGACGGCGUCAGCUGUCGCUUUUGGAUGAGCCCGCGGCGUAUUAACUAGUUGGUAAGGUAACGGCUUACCAAGGUGAUGAUACGUAGCCGAACUGAGAGGUUGAUCGGCCACAUUGGGACUGAGACACGGCCCAAACUCCUACGGGAGGCAGCAGUAGGGAAUCUUCCACAAUGGACGCAAGUCUGAUGGAGCAACGCCGCGUGUAUGAAGAAGGUCUUCGGAUCGUAAAAUACUGUUGUCAGAGAAGAACACGUGAUAGAGUAACUGCUAGGCGCUGACGUUCUACCAGCAGCGCCCUAAGCCCAAAAAAU